rnacentral:rRNA from 1 species
UACGUAGGGUGCAAGCGUUGUCCGGAAUUAUUGGGCGUAAAGAGCUCGUAGGCGGUUUGUUGCGUCUGCUGUGAAAUCUGGGGGCUCAACCCCCAGCCUGCAGUGGGUACGGGCAGACUAGAGUGCGGUAGGGGAGAGUGGAAUUCCUGGUGUAGCGGUGGAAUGCGCAGAUAUCAGGAGGAACACCGAUGGCGAAGGCAGAUCUCUGGGCCGUAACUGACGCUGAGGAGCGAAAGCAUGGGGAGCGAACAGG